rfam:Microgenomates (Gottesmanbacteria) bacterium GW2011_GWA2_47_9 TY16_C0073, whole genome shotgun sequence.
GGAGAGGUGGCUGAGUGGCCGAAAGCGGCACGCUGCUAAUGUGCUAAGGUAGCAAUACCUUCGUGGGUUCGAAUCCCACCCUCUCCG